GGGGGUGUAGCUCAGUUGGUCAGAGCAGUCGACUCAUAAUCGAUUGGUCGCGGGUUCAAGUCCUGCCACCCCUA
rnacentral:tRNA from 1 species